rnacentral:lncRNA from 1 species
CCGGCCUCUCCAGCAGCUGCACAGGCCUGCAGUAGGAUGGAGGCCGCGUCACUGCCCCUGCUUCUAAAUGGAGAGCAUUUUGCCAAACCUUCCUGGGAGAGGCUGGGGGCUCAUCCCUGUUGUCUGUUCCAUCUUGGUAAAGCCAGGUUAAGACAUCUGGGUAAGCAGACAGUAGAGUGGCACCCAGGAAGGGUGGGUGGAGGGCGCUGGCAUUUAGGCUUGCCUGGACCAUGGUGGGAGGGGGAAGGUUACCAGGAAGCAGUGCUGUCAGGGCUAAAGUCAGGAGGAGGUGGUUAUGCUGGUGAGGCAGGGGUGUGGCUGGCUUGCGGUGGGGCAUAAAUGAGAGCCAAGGUUUGUCAGCAUGCAGAAGAGGCAGCUGACUCAUCCCUAGGGGCUGCGGAGGAGGUCGGGUCACUCUUGAUCCCAGUUCCCAGUGAAAACUGGAGGUUGCCAUCACCUAACCACACAUGCAAUAAAGUCUUCUGCCUGCUGCUUACAGCCCCCGAGAACCUUCUCCGAGAGAAUAAAACCUUUGACUGCUGCUCUUCCUGAGUGGAUUUUGUUUGUGUCUUCUGAUGAACUGUGAUGUCCCGU